rnacentral:rRNA from 1 species
UACGUAGGUCCCGAGCGUUAUCCGGAUUUAUUGGUCGUAAAGCGAGCGCAGGCGGUUAGAUAAGUCUGAAGUGUAAGGCUGUGGCUUAACCAUAGUAUGCUUUGGAAACUGUUUAACUUGAGUGCAGAAGGGGAGGGUGGAAUUCCAUGUGUAGCGGCGAAAUGCGUAGAUAUAUGGAGGAACACCGGUGGCGAGAGCGGCUCUCUGGUCUGUAACUGACGCUGAGGCUCGAAAGCGUGGGGAGCAAACAGG